rnacentral:rRNA from 1 species
AUUGAACGCUGGCGGCAGGCCUAACACAUGCAAGUCGAGCGGAUGAAGGGAGCUUGCUCCUGGAUUCAGCGGCGGACGGGUGAGUAAUGCCUAGGAAUCUGCCUGGUAGUGGGGGAUAACGUCCGGUAACGGGCGCUAAUACCGCAUACGUCCUGAGGGAGAAAGUGGGGGAUCUUCGGACCUCACGCUAUCAGAUGAGCCUAGGUCGGAUUAGCUAGUUGGUGGGGUAACGGCCUACCAAGGCGACGAUCCGUAACUGGUCUGAGAGGAUGAUCAGUCACACUGGAACUGAGACACGGUCCAGACUCCUACGGGAGGCAGCAGUGGGGAAUCUUGCACAAUGGGCGAAAGCCUGAUCCAGCCAUGCCGCGUGUGUGAAGAAGGUCUUCGGAUUGUAAAGCACUUUAAGUUGGGAGGAAGGGCAGUAAGUUAAUACCUUGCUGUUUUGACGUUACCAACAGAAUAAGCACCGGCUAACUUCGUG